rnacentral:rRNA from 1 species
AUGGAUCUGGCCAUGGGGGCCAUGGGCUCCCUCCUCCACAAACUGGGCGAGGUCAUCAAGGACGAGUACAAGCUACAGAAGGGAGUCAAGAGAAAGGUCAAAUCCUUCUCUGCCGAGCUGGAUAUUAUGCGUGCUGCCCUCGGCAAGGUGGCAGAGGUGCCGCGGGAUGAGCUCGACGAUCAGAUCAACAUGUACUGCUUGUGUGUGUCGGUCAAGUCUUUCAAUGGGCCAAGCCCAAAAAAGAGUGCAAAAUAA